GAGUUUGAUUCUGGCUCAGGACAAACGCUGGCGGCGUGCAUAACACAUGCAAGUCGAACGAAAUCUACAUGAUUUAGUGGCGAACGGGUGAGUAACACGUGAGAAACCUGCCUUACACAGAGGGAUAGCCGUUGGAAACGACGAUUAAUACCUCAUGACACCGUGACAUCGCAUGAUGAUGCGGUCAAAGAUUUAUCGGUGUAAGAUGGUCUCGCGCCUGAUUAGCUGGUUGGUGGGGUAACGGCCUACCAAGGCGACGAUCAGUAGCCGAUCUGAGAGGGUGGACGGCCACAUUGGGACUGAGACACGGCCCAAACUCCUACGGGAGGCAGCAGUGGGGAAUUUUGCACAAUGGGGGAAACCCUGAUGCAGCGACGCNGNGUGAACGAAGAAGGCCUUCGGGUUGUAAAGUUCUGUCCUUGGUGAAGAUGA
rnacentral:rRNA from 1 species